rnacentral:tRNA from 1 species
GCCCGGGUGGCGGAAUUGGUAGACGCUGCGGACUUAAAAUCCGUUGCCCUUGAGGCGUGUGGGUUCGAGUCCCACCCCGGGCACUA